CAUAGGCUUUCCCAGAGGGUCCGUGCUAUUCGGGUACCUUGGGAUGUCUCUUCCGCAAUCAACUUUUUUUUUUUAAAUGGUUAAUUUUAGUGUUAGUUAAGGGUUAUAGUUUAGGGUUCAGGGUAAGGACUUCCCAAGGAAUCUGGAUAGCAGUGGCCGUUCAUAAAGUGAGAGACUGGCACGGUAUUUGAGAGCUCGGCGGCAACAUUCAUUUGAUAGGUUUUUUACAAGCGGCAGAUGCAAUUUUCGAGAGUGUCUGCCCCAGAUAGUUUCCUUAGAGACGAUGGAAAGAAUUACCAUGUCUUUGAUCCGAUUGAGGAGCCUUCACAUUCACACUCAAGCUGAAUUGAAUGGCAGAUGCAUAAGUACUUUUCAAUGAAGAAGGGAAACGAGUCAAGAAGUGAUGAGACAGAGAAAGAGAAAUCAAUCAGCAUCACUGCAGCUGUUCUACCCACACUGCUCUCCCUCCACAAGCAACCAAAUCCUCUUCUCCUGUUCAACUAAUUUGGUGCCACACGAAAAGGACUGUACAUACAUGCCCCUGUGCCCAUGUCAUUGUAACAUGAUCCAUCCAAGGCCUCAGCUGGAUGCCUAAAACGUGAGAAAUGAAAACAAGAUGCUACAGUUGUGUGUGUGUGUGUGGAUGGAGAUCCAAGAAAAGACCUGAGAAGAUGGCAAAGGAGAUAGUGAUGAGAGUGGGAGCAUACAGUAUGAAAAUAAAGACCCAUUGGGAUCUAAAAUGACUGUGGGGUACCCUCUUGUGUCUCCUUUUUGUCCGUUUGAGGAUACUACAGUCACCCAUAGUGGAGGUUAUUGGAACACUGCCAUUUAAGUCUGAGCAGAGGUUGACGAAAACCUUUUAAAGGUGGUGGUACUAUGUUGCGCGUUAUCUUGAAUACCAGGCAAAUGUUUGACUACAGACUGAAAUGGUGUAAACUUACAGGCUAAACUUGAGAAAGGGGUUCCAACAGAGUUAUUUUGCUGUCACCAAAGGAGAACCCUUUUUGGUUCCAAGUAGAAGUCGUUUUGGUUCCAUGUAGAACCCUCUGUGGAAUGGAGCCU